rnacentral:lncRNA from 1 species
AACAAUUCAUGGCGUGGAGAUUCCAGCUCGCAGUUAUGCUAAAGUUGGAUGGACUGAGUGGUCAACUGUUGGGAUGACCUGGAACUGGAGAUCCAUAGAGGUGAUGGGGAAAAGAAUAGGAGAAGCCAUCCAUGGUUGGAUUCUAUGGCCCAAGCGCUACAUAAGGAUUAUGCAUUCGUAUCCCCCGACCUUGGGAUCAUCUCCUCAAGGCUCAAGGGCAAGAUCACCUAUGCCAUCUGCUAGGGCACCCUCUCCACUACCAUAUAGGGAUCCUAGCAUGAGUCCACGAGCAGACAGGGAUCCUAGCAUGAGUCCAUGCUCUCCACCAGCUAAUAGGGAUCCUAGUAUGAGUCCAC